UUGAACGCUGGCGGCAUGCUUUACACAUGCAAGUCGCACGGCAGCGCGGGCUUCGGCCUGGCGGCGAGUGGCGAACGGGUGAGUAAUACAUCGGAACGUGCCCAGUAGUGGGGGAUAGCUCGGCGUAAGCCGGAUUAAUACCGCAUACGACCUGAGGGUGAAAGCAGGGGAUCUUCGGACCUCGCGCUAUUGGAGCGGCCGAUGGCAGAUUAGCUAGUUGGUGGGGUAAAGGCCUACCAAGGCGACGAUCUGUAGCUGGUCUGAGAGGACGACCAGCCACACUGGGACUGAGACACGGCCCAGACUCCUACGGGAGGCAGCAGUGGGGAAUUUUGGACAAUGGGCGAAAGCCUGAUCCAGCAAUGCCGCGUGUGUGAUGAAGGCCUUCGGGUUGUAAAGCACUUUUGGCGGGAACGAAAAGGACUGUGCCAAUACCACGGUUCGAUGACGGUACCCGCAGAAUAAGCACCGGCUAACUACGUG
rnacentral:rRNA from 1 species